GCAAGACGAUACGGUUCGUAAAUCGAGCUUGCUUUAAAUCAUAUAAGGCAGAAAAUCGUUCAAUCUAUUAGUCUAACGCAUUUUUUUUUUUAUUGUGCUAACGGUUUGACUUGCUUACACAUAUAUAAUGACAAUUUAUGGACUGCUUGUGCAAAUUAUACUCAUCUGCAAUUAGUUUGCUCAAUCUCCAAUUGAAUCUCAAACUGUAAUCGCAUCUCAAACUGUCAACUGCUUCUCAAACUUUAAGAGAAUCUGUAACAAAAACUGAUUCAGAAUGGCGCCGCCAAACGAACAGCCAGAGGAUGACAUUGUUACCAAGAUACCUUCAAUAAUUGGAUUCUUGAACUUGGACUAAUUGGAAAUUUGACUUCAAGCAGAGAACGUGAUGAACGUACACAAUAAAUAACUUAAUUAAGGCUGAAUAGACCACAAGAAUUAUGUAGACGCUUAAAUAUUAGUCAUUAAGGACAAACUUUUUUUUAUCCCAUAAUUUUUCUUUUUAUUUUUGUUUAAAUAAAUGCGAUGAUUUAGUAAAUAAAA